ACCUAGAACUUGUGUUUAGUUACCGUCUCUCCUUUAAAUAAGUCUCAUGCAGAGUUUCAAUGCAGUAAAGAUGAAAGAGGGGGCGAGAUGGGGCCUCAUCUCUCACCCCUCGGCCUCCAGUGCACUACCCUGGAGGCUGUGCCUCCGAUCUAGAACAGCGUGAAAGCCAUGAAACUCUAGAGCGCUAGUCUCUAAGGGCCCCUCCCCUUGGAAAUUUCUGAGUCAAGGCCAGGAGUCACUGGGGUUUAGUAGGCAUGGCACCCUGCCGUCUGCCAGCUGACACUGGGAUUAAGGGCUUGAUCAGAACCUGUCUGCGUGUUCCCCUGCGCGGUGAUUAACUGACCUAGAAUCGCCUGUUUUCCAGGCUGUCAGCUCCCCAAAGCUACACCAAAAAGUCACUCUUUGGCUGAUGACUCCUGCAAGUACCCUGUGACCAUUGCGGGAGACACCUGGGGCCCUUCUGCAGGCUUCAACACCACAAGGCCCCUGAGUCUGAGAUGCCUUCUCCUCUUAGUGGCCAGGCUGAGCCCAGCACCGGCGAAUGAGAGGCAUUGUAAAACAAAGGACCUGCUGCCCUGAGACAGCCCCAAGUAGAGACAGGAAUGAAGUCAUUCUGCAGAGCUUUUCUGCCUCCUGGAGCUGAAGGUGGAGAGACUGAGGCCCAGAGAGGUGGAACCGCCAGAGGCAAGGCCACUUGGCUAAUGAGAAGUGGCUCUGAGAUUCCAUAGCUCUUGCUCUUAAACACCAUGCUGACCUGGAGGAUGUGCUGGAAAAUUUUUAACCACUGUGUGAAAGCAUUUUCCAGAUGUCCCUCCUCUCCUCUAACGCAGAGACAACCUGUCUGUCAAAGCCUCUCAGAUCCGGCCAAAAUCAUCUGAAAGAGUUUAGCAGGCAGGCAGGAAAGCCAGCCUGAAAUUGAGUUAGCCAGGAUUCUGCCCCAGGCCCUCACAUCAACUGUGCAACAGAACCACUGCCUGGUGCAAAAAACACCCUUCUGGAGCUGGUCUUUUGUCACUGGCUUGUCCUCAUUUGCAGCGGGAAGUAACGCUGUCAUGAGAUUCGGUCUCUUACAGUUCUGCCUUGGAAGCAAGGAGGGCACAUUGACGCCCUCCCCAGCCCAGAGGCUGUCUCAAAGCCCCUGCAGCUGUGCUCCCAGCCAGGUGCUCUCAUAGCCGCAUGGUGAACUGUGCUCUGCGGUCUGACUGCCUAGAUGCAGUCCUCCACCCUGUGCCUUCCAGGGUCUCCCCCUGGCCUCUGUGUAAAAUGAGGCUAAUAAUUGUGAGGUUCAACUCCACAGAGCUGUCAUGAUAAUACAUGAUUGAGCAUGUGUAAAGCUUUUGGCACAUAGUAAGUGUUAUAAAGCGGGUUGCUGUCAUCAUCAUCACCAUCAGUACUUGGUUUCCUACCUUCACUUUUAAAAAAUCAAAACCAAGUAUCAUACAUCAUAUUAUUUAUUUAAUACUUUAUUUAAACAAACUUUAAAUAAACUUGCUUUUAAAACAUAGCCUCCUUCUAAGCAAGUUUCCUUGAAAUCACAGUUUUGAUGGCUUUAGUUGUAUUUUUAAAGGCUCUGUGCAACAGUUGCAUGCCUGUUGAAGUCAAUAUGUCUUACUUCAGGUGUUUAGUAGCACUGAUUCAGCUUGUGCAUAACCAAGGGUCCUCUGCCCUGGCUUUGAGGAACACCACUGCAGCAAGUGCUAGUACCUGUCUCAGUUUUACCAUCUGUAAAAUAGGUGCAGUGUGAUGAUGACACUGCUUCCUGGGACUGCUGUCCCAUUCAGUGGUAUGUUUGUUGUGACCAUGCUUUGUAAAAUGUAACGCACUAACCAAGUUGCCAUCAUGUAGUUCUCCUGUCCCCACCCCAUUCCAGUUAGUGAGUCACCCCAGGUUUGCAAAAGGAGCUGCUGAUGGUAAAGGUCCCCAACCCCCAUGCCCCCUCUCCUUGGAAUUUGUUGGAAUAUGCUGUCAAUCGAGGUAUAUUUUUUUCUCACUUGGUUUUGCUCCUUGGGCUAGAACAGCCCCCUAGACCUAUUUUAAUCCUUAAUCCCUCAUUCAACAUCCCUCCUUUGUAUCUUGACUCCACUGAGGGUGUCAGGCCCCAUUGCUACACUAAGGAGAUGAUAGCUCCAGUCCGUGCCCUUCCGGCUACUCUUGAGCCUGCCCCAGGGUUCAAGAAGCAGAAUUUCCAGGAGUUUUAUAUCCACUGGCCAUGGGCUCUCAUCCUGCUUGCCUGUCCACUGAACUCACAAAACUGGAAACACCUUUUUUUGAACCUGACCAGCAGACUCUGCUGCUCCAAUUCUGCCUGUUCCUACUAUGUGAUGACUCAUUAGGCAUUCCCUCUGACCAGAGCCUCUUCCCUCCCUCCAUCUGGGCCAACAGGGGUAACUUCAGCUCCAAGUAGAGAAGACUGAGGCCUUGGGGCAGGGGGGUGGGGGUAGGGUUUUGCUGUGGGCAGAGGUGAGGUUGGGAGUAAAUUCCAGGGCUAAUGCCUGGGAUGCUUUGCAUUUCUCUGACCCUGCCCAGCCCAGCCAGUACCCAGGGCUUCACAAAUGUCCAUUUAGAAAGCUCCACCCUGCUUGUAUGGGAGGUCUUAGUGAUUAGCUGGCUCCCGUCAGACCCAGAUAAAGCUAAGGAGGUUGGGAACCAAGUUUACUUCUUUUAAAUUAAUUUUUUUAAUGGAGGUACUGGGGAUUGAACCCAGGACCUUGUGCAUGCUGAGCAUAUACUCUACUGCUGAGCUCUCUCCAGCACUAACUUAAAAAAAAAAAAAAAACAA